CUCUCUGUUCGCUGCAGCAGCAGCAGAGGAAUGGAGACCACGGAGUCGUGCAACAAAGUCCUCCCUGCUCUCCAGCCAAGCGAGAGAGACCCCUCUCGCCAUCACCAUCGCCGGAGAGACGGCCUGGGGACACAAAUAGGACGUGACACCCCGAGAGAGGGUGGAGGUGGAAGAGCAAGAGGGGGAGGAGGGAGGAGGAGGAAGAAGAAGUAAAUGUGCUCUCUCCUCCCGUCCAACCCCACCGUCUUGUCUCUUCCCCUCGGAAGGCCCACGGCUGCAGAGCGCUCGGGAGGAGACGCACAUUGACAGAGAGUUUGUGACACCAGAUGACUCAUGGUGAAGACAUUUGAGGAGGAACAUGACCUCAAUUCAAUGAUUUAUGUAAUCAUCCCAUAGUCCAUUUCUGUGACGGGUGUGUGGUUACUGCCACACGUUCCAUCUUUUACUUAUUCUUUUCUUGGGCGGAAGAAGAACGAAGAUGGUUUUGUAAGUAAAAUGGCAAUGCCUCGAUGUAAAAGCACCACAUCCCAGAUGUUGUGUUGUUACUAUGUUAGAAGAACAAAAUGAAUUUCGCCUUUAACAACAGGCAUCUCGUGGAAUUAUCGGAGAACAUCAUUGCUGAUGCAUGUGUGUGGAACCUCCCUUUAAUGUUGUAGUUUUUCUAAAUUAAGCUAUUUCUAAUUAAUACUGUUCUAAUCCAGAAUACAAAAUUGUUAAUAAUCUGCUCAUAUGUAUUAUAUAUAUUAUAUUGUAUUAACUGGCUACCUCUCUCAAAAUAAAUUAGAAAAUUAAAAGAUGGAAAAUAUUCUUUGGGAAAUUUAGUAUAGAAUAUAAAGAACAAAAUGAAUGAAAUGUAAUAGUUUAGAUCAAGUACCGCAAGUUGUACUUAAAUAAAGCACUUUAAAGAACUUAAAUGUACAGACAAAAGACAGAAAAGGGUUUGUUACAAUAAAGUCAUAAGCACAGAUCUAUAAA